rnacentral:rRNA from 1 species
GACGAACGCUGGCGGCGUGCUUAACACAUGCAAGUCGAACGGAAAGGCCCUGCUUUUGUGGGGUGCUCGAGUGGCGAACGGGUGAGUAACACGUGAGUAACCUGCCCUUGACUUUGGGAUAACUUCAGGAAACUGGGGCUAAUACCGGAUAGGAUCUCCUGCUGCAUGGUGGGGGUUGGAAAGUUUCGGCGGUUGGGGAUGGACUCGCGGCUUAUCAGCUUGUUGGUUGGGUAGUGGCUUACCAAGGCUUUGACGGGUAGCCGGCCUGAGAGGGUGACCGGCCAAAUUGGGACUGAGAUACGGCCCAGACUCCAACGGGAGGCAGCAGUGGGGAAUAUUGCACAAUGGGCGGAAGCCUGGUGCAGCAACGCCGUGUGCGGGAUGACGGCCUUCGGGUUGUAAACCGCUUUCGCCUGUGACGAAGCGUGAGUGACGGUAAUGGGUAAAGAAGCACCGGCUAACUACGUG